rnacentral:rRNA from 1 species
UACGAAGGGGGCUAGCGUUGCUCGGAAUCACUGGCGUAAAGCGCACGUAGGCGGACUCUUAAGUCGGUGGUGAAAUCCUGGAGCUCAACUCCAGAACUGCCUUCGAUACUGGAGUCGUCGAGUUCGGGAGAGGUGAGUGGAACUGCGAGUGUAAGAGGUGAAAUUCGUAGAUAUUCGCAAGAACACCAGUGGCGAACGGCG